GAACACCAACAUAGGGUAGUAUGUCAAACAUAUAAUAUUCAAUUGAGAAGCUUGGAAAAACUCACAAUUUACUGAGCAUUUAUAAGUUUGCUCUAAACUAUAUAGCUGGAGUGAAUCAUUCAGAUGUACAUGGAUCCAAUGUAUAGGUCCCCCAGGAGGUGUUUGCAGUCCUCAAGCAGGUAAAUCAGGAACCAGGUAACCGGGUACAAGUAGAAAAUAAAUUUAUUAUAAUAAAACACAAUAAAAAGCACAACGCGUUUCGACCCAACAGAGAG